AAUCAAAACUUUCAACAACGGAUCUCUUGGUUCUGGCAUCGAUGAAGAACGCAGCGAAAUGCGAUAAGUAAUGUGAAUUGCAGAAUUCAGUGAAUCAUCGAAUCUUUGAACGCACAUUGCGCCCGCCAGUAUUCUGGCGGGCAUGCCUGUUC
rnacentral:rRNA from 1 species